AACGAACGCUGGCGGCGCGCCUAACACAUGCAAGUCGAACGAGAAUCCGGGGCAACCCGGUAGUAAAGUGGCAAACGGGUGAGGAAUACAUGGGUAACCUACCCUUGAGAAGGGAAUAACCCGCCGAAAGGUGAGCUAAUACCCUAUACGCUAUCUUUUUUUCGAAAAGGAUAGGAAAGCCGGGUCGAGGACCUGGUACUCAAGGAGGGGCUCAUGUCCUAUCAGCUUGUUGGUGGGGUAACGGCCUACCAAGGCUACGACGGGUAGCUGGUCUGAGAGGAUGAUCGGCCACACUGGCACUGAGAUACGGGCCAGACUCCUACGGGAGGCAGCAGUGAGGAAUAUUGCGCAAUGGGCGAAAGCCUGACGCAGCGACGCCGCGUGGGGGAUGAAGGUUUUCGGAUUGUAAACCCCUUUCAUGAGGAAAGAUAAAGUGGGUAACCACUUAGACGGUACCUCAAGAAGAAGCCACGGCUAACUUCGUG
rnacentral:rRNA from 1 species